rnacentral:misc_RNA from 1 species
GAUGAAGAACGUAGCGAAAUGCGAUAAGUAAUGUGAAUUGCAGAAUUCAGUGAAUCAUCGAAUCUUUGAACGCACAUUGCGCCCGUCAGUAUUCUGGCGGGCAUGCCUGUUCGAGCGUCAUUACGCCCCUCAAGUCCCCUGUGGACUUGGUGUUGGGGAUCGGCGAGGCUGGUUUUCCAGCACAGCCGUCCCUUAAAUUAAUUGGCGGUCUCGCCGUGGCCCUCCUCUGCGCAGUAGUAAAACACUCGCAACAGGAGCGCGGCGCGGUCCACUGCCGUAAAACCCCCCAACUUUUUAUAGUUGACCUCGAAUCAGGUAGGACUACCCGCUGAACUUAAGCAUAUCAAUAAGCGGAGGA